ACACAUGCAAGACGAACGGUAACAGCAGAGCUUGCUCUGGCUGACGAGUGGCGGACGGGUGAGUAACGCGUAGGAAUCUGCCUGAUAGUGGGGGACAACCUGGUGAAAACCAGGCUAAUACCGCAUACGCCCUACGGGGGAAAGCGGGGGAUCUUCGGACCUCGCGCUAUCAGAUGAGCCUGCGUCGGAUUAGCUAGUUGGUAAGGUAAUGGCUUACCAAGGCGACGAUCCGUAGCUGGUUUGAGAGAACGACCAGCCACAUUGGGACUGAGACACGGUCCAGACUNNUACGGGAGGCAGCAGUGGGGAAUAUUGCACAAUGGGCGCAAGCCUGAUGCAGCCAUGCCGCGUGUGUUAAGAAGGCCUUCGGGUUGUAAAGCACUUUCAGCGAGGAGGAAGGUGGUGAGCUUAAUACGCUCAUCAAUUGACGUUACUCGCAGAAGAAGCACCGGCUAACUCCGUGCCAGCAGCCGCGGUAAUACGGAGGGUGCAAGCGUUAAUCGGAAUUACUGGGCGUAAAGCGCACGCAGGCGGUUUGUUAAGUCAGAUGUGAAAUCCCCGGGCUCAACCUGGGAACUGCAUUUGAAACUGGCAAGCUAGAGUCUCGUAGAGGGGGGUAGAAUUCCAGGUGUAGCGGUGAAAUGCGUAGAGAUCUGGAGGAAUACCGGUGGCGAAGGCGGCCCCCUGGACGAAGACUGACGCUCAGGUGCGAAAGCGUGGGGAGCAAACAGGGUU
rnacentral:rRNA from 1 species